ACUAAUGUUGCUGCUGUUAAAACGCUCGUAGUUGGACUCAGAGAUGGAGGUUGCAGUGAGGCCCUCUGCGGCUGGAGCUGUUGCGCCCCCGGGUGUGACGAUCCAACCGCAUUGCGGAACAAACCCACUGCGUUCGACCUUCACUCUUCACACGCGGAACCAUUGGGGCUGUGGAAACCUCCUUGAUUGGUGGUAGAAGCGCUUCCGCAUUCAACACAUGCAUAUGCCCCUGUCCGUGGAGGUUACUGUGAACAAAACAGCGUGUCCAAAGCAACCACAUGUCUGGCUGAAUGAUCUAGCAUGGAAUAACAAGGCAUCGACCACUGGAGUCAGCCUUUUUGUUGGUUUUACAUGACCCAGUUGGGCAAUGCAGGGCUUGCGCUUCAUUGAGGUUCUUAGUCAGCUCUACCGAACUGUCUUCCCUCAGUUGGACCUUGUUCCCUAUCGGGAUCAAUGGAAGCCAUCGGGGUGGUAUGUAUUCCGACGUGAGCGGUGAAAUGCUCAGACCGUUGGAAGACAAACGACAGCGAAGGCAUUCCGCCAGAAUGUUUUCAUUAAUCAAGAACGAGAGUGUGGGGAUCGAAGAUGAUCAGAUACCAUCGUAGUCCAUUACCGUAAACUAUGCCAACUCGGCAUUGGGAGUCUGUUCACUUUGAAGACUCUCCCAGCAUCAUCCCCCAAUAACGAGAAAUCCAAGUCUAUGGGUUCAGGGGGGAGUACAGUCGCAAGGCUGAAACUUAAAGGAAUUGACGGAAUGACACCACAAGGCGUGGAGUAUGCGGCUUAAUUUGACCCAACACGGGGAAGCUUACCAGGUCAGACACAGUAAGGAUUGACAGAUUGAGAGCUCUUUCUUGAUCCUAUGGAUGGUGGUGCAUGGCCGUUUCUGGUUCGUGGAGUGAUCUGUCUGCUUAAUUGCGAUAACGAACGAGAUCUCUACCUCUAAAUAGGCGCCGGUCUCGCAUGUAAGUAGGGAUGUGUUGGGGGCCUUCGUGUCCCCUCAUGUCCUGAGAGUGCCGGGAUCGCUUCUUUGACGGAUUGUGCAUGUCUUUAAUGCACGGAAGAGGGAGUCAAUAGCAGGUCUGUGAUGCUCCUAGAUGUUCUGGGCUGCACGCGCACUACACUGGCACAGUAAACGAGUUGCACCUGCUUCGGCAGUCCUGCUUAGAAGUGAGCGCGGGAAAUCUUAGAAAACUGUGCCGUGCUGGGGAUAGAUGAUUGCGAUUAUUUGUCUUGAACGAGGAAUGCCUAGUAGAGGUACUUCAUCAGAGUACCUUGAUUGUGUCCCUGCCAUUUGUACACACCGCCCGUCGUUGCUACCGAUUGGCUGUAAAAUAGAGGCCUUAAGA
rnacentral:rRNA from 1 species